AAAAAAAAAAAAAAGCACUUUAUCAGGCUUGCUCCCCUUGCAUUGAUCAUAUAUCACCUUCUCUUUUUUCUAAAUCAAGCUUUGUUUUAUUUGUCUCCCCCUUAAAAAAGACAUUUUGUGACAAUGUUAACAGGAUGGACUCACCCUAAAGUUUUCACACCAUUGAAAUACUGACCUAGUAUUUAGAAUGAAGGCUACUGUAUAAUUAUGUGAUCUAUAUAACUAAUUGUAUAGCAAAGACUUAAUCUAAGAAAAAGUAAAGUUUGAAUCAUUAGGGUUUCUUCCUAUAGAAAAAAUCAAAUAAACAAAUCAGACUAUAUACUAUAUUAAAUUAAAAGUUUAAACCAUAGAUGAAUCAGAUUCAUGUAAUAUUAUGUGAUACUUAUAAAUUGUUAAAAAAAAACAUAAACCUUUAAGUCAGUAAUAUUCAAUAAAGUUAAUAAUUAAAUGACCCACAGACUUUAUUUGAUCUACAAUCAACUAAAUCAUUAUUACGAUAUUAAAGAUAUUAAAAUAUUUAUAAAUCAUUUAAUAUCAAAUCCUUGAACCAAA